rnacentral:rRNA from 1 species
AACAAACGCUGGCGGCGUGCCUAACACAUGCAAGUCGUACGAGAAAGGGUCCUUCGGGGCCUGAGUAAAGUGGCGCACGGGUGAGUAACGCGUGGAUAAUCUGCCCUUCAGUUGGGAAUAACUCAUCGAAAGGUGGGCUAAUACCGAAUAAUGCUGUGAGACCUCGGUUGAUCAGCCAAAGAGAGCCUCUGCUUGCAAGCCCUCGCUGAAGGAUGAGUCCGCGUACCAUUAGCUAGUUGGUAGGGUAAUGGCCUACCAAGGCGACGAUGGUUAGGUGGGCUGGGAGGAUGAUCAGCCACACUGGAACUGAGACACGGUCCAGACUCCUACGGGAGGCAGCAGUGAGGAAUCUUGCGCAAUGGGGGCAACCCUGACGCAGCAACGCCGCGUGAGUGAGGAAGGUCUUCGGAUCGUAAAGCUCUGUCGGAUGGAAAGAACCGCAUAGGGGUAAACAGCCCCUGUGUCUGACGGUACCAUCAAAGGAAGCACCGGCUAACUCCGUGCCAGCCGCCGCAGUAACAC